CUCUCUCUCUCUCUCUCUCUCUCUCUCUCUCUCUCUCUCUCUCUCUCUCUGUGUAUGUGUGUGUGUCUUUCUUUUCUGCACUACUACAGAGGAGAGAGAAAGAGAGAGAGCAAGGGAGAGGGAGAGGGGCUGAGACACACGACACACGCCACCUAUCUUCACACGGAGGGAUAAUGGAGCAGUGCGCAUCUCAUGGGAAGCGUGAGAAGUUUGUUGCUUUUUUAUUCUUCAUCUUCUCCAGUUCUUUUUUUUCUUUAGUAAUUUUUAUUAUAAUUAUAAGAAAGUCAUAUUUCGACUGACGUUAGUGUUAAAUCCGGACCCAUAACUGGUUAAUCUUUCUAUAAACUAAUCAAAAUCAAACGACUAUUUGGAUGUUUUUUUAUUAUCUAUUUAUUUAAUUUUAAUUUUUUUUUUUUUGCUCAUCGUCGUUGAAUAAUUUUGUGCCACGUCCCAGAUUGCUCGUGAGUUUUUCUACAAAUUUGAUGAUUUUUUUCCCCCAGCUGAUUGUGUUCUACGCUGUUUAGUAGUGUAGUGCGCGGUUUGGGACGGAGCCUAUUAGUCUUUUUAACGCGGUGCCUCGUGCUGCCUUCAAGUGCGACAGAAUUUGUGGUUAAUACGAGUUUCCGUCUUAACAGUCGCGCGUCCGUUUAAGCCGCAAUAAAUAAAAAUAAAUAAAUAAUAAAGAUAAUUCAACAUAUGAAAUGUUAUACCAGAGUUUUUGUCUUGUCCCAAAGCGUCAUUUUCAUCAUAUGAGAGGAAUCCAGUGGAUCUUGAGCUUGUGAUUAUAGCGUCAGUAUUCUCCAGCACAUUCCAGAUGUGUCAGCUAUGGGAAAAGUGUCCUGUGCACGUGAGCCGGUGACUUAGGGAGGGGGCAGGAGGAGGAGGAGGGGGAGGAGGAGGAGGAGGAUGAGGAGGUCGGGGGAGCCCCACCUAAAGAGGGACGUGAUUGGCUGUACCUACAGAUCCAGUUUAUAGAUGAUUAAAUCAUCAAUCAGGGCUGCGGGAGCGCGCGUUCGUGCGAUCGCUCGAGCCCAUGUUUCCGUUCAAAGCCAAUCAGAUCGGAGCGGAGCGCGCGCAAAGCCGGGGAAAGGCUUUGUAGCACGUGGAAUUAGGAAAGAGAGACACAGCGCGUGAGGAGUCAUCGAGACAUGUGAUUUUGCACGGUGAUCUCGUGCUCCAUGUGCGCGCGCUGCCGCUGCUGCCACGCUGACGCCGCGCGUGCUCUCAGCACCACUUAUCGGUUCAUUCAUCCUGAAUGCGCCGUCGCCCCUCGCGCUGCUUCGCUCUGAAUAUUACAUACAGCGUGAAAUCGGCUCCAAGUCCGCGGCCAACCUGUGCAGCAACCUCCGGGUUAAUGCAUCAGCUAAUUUCAUUGGGAAAACAGGACGCCCCCUCAUCUCCCUGGACGUGUGUGUGUGUGUGUGUGUGUGUGUGUGUGUGUGUGUGUGUGUGUGUGUGUGUGUGUGUGUGUGUGUGUGUGUGUGUGCGCGCGCGCGUAUUUAGACAUUUUCUUGAAGUGAGAACUGCCAUAAGACAAUAUUCAUUCAUUCAUUCAUUCAUCCAUGCAUAUUUUUGCUUAUCCUGUUUGUGAAGAAAUGCAGAAAAAAAACAAUACCUGUAAAAAUAUAUAGUUAAGAAUAACCCAAUUCUAUUCAUUUAUUCAAAACAUAAUGAAUAAUUUAAAUUCUAAGAUCUAAAAUAACACACAAGUCACAAUCCAGUCAUUUCUAAGCCGAAGUCUAAUCGUUAUUUCUGAAUAAAUACCAGUCUGUAAA